GAUGAACGCUGGCGGCGUGCCUAACACAUGCAAGUCGAGCGAAGCGAUUUUGAUGAAAUUUUCGGAUGGAAUCGAAAUUGACUUAGCGGCGGACGGGUGAGUAACACGUGGGUAAUCUGCCUUAUACAGGGGGAUAACAGUUAGAAAUGACUGCUAAUACCGCAUAAGCGCACGGGAACGCAUGUUUCUGUGUGAAAAACUCCGGUAGUAUAAGAUGAGCCCGCGUCUGAUUAGCUGGUUGGUGGGGUAACGGCCUACCAAGGCGACGAUCAGUAGCCGGCCUGAGAGGGUGAACGGCCACAUUGGGACUGAGACACGGCCCAA
rnacentral:rRNA from 1 species